CCUAGAACCCACAAAGGGUGUUGGUCGAUUAAGACAGCAGGACGGUGGUCAUAGAAGUCGAAAUCCGCUAAGGAAUGUGUAACAACUCACCUGCCGAAUCAACUAGCCCCAAAAAUGGAUGGCGCUUAAGCGCGCGACCUAUACCAGGUCGUCGGGGUAAGAGCCAGGCCCCGAUGAGUAGGAAGGCGCGGCGGUCGCCGCAAAAUCUGGGGCGCGAGCCCGGGCGGAGCGGCCGUCGG
rnacentral:ncRNA from 1 species